GGUGAACGCUGGCGGCGUGCUUAAGACAUGCAAGUCGAACGGCAGUCUUCGGACUGUAGUGGCGCACGGGUGAGUAACGCGUAACUGACCUACCCCAAAGUCGCGGAUAACGAAUCGAAAGAAUCGCUAAUACGUGAUGUGCUGUCAGAUUGUGUUCUGCCAGUAAAGAUUGAUUGCUUUGGGAUGGGGUUGCGUUCCAUCAGCUAGUUGGUGGGGUAAAGGCCCACCAAGGCGACGACGGAUAGCCGGCCUGAGAGGGUGGCCGGCCACAGGGGAAAUGAGACACGGGUCCCACUCCUACGGGAGGCAGCAGUUAGGAAUCUUCCACAAUGGGCGAAAGCCUGAUGGAGCGACGCCGCGUGAGGGAUGAAGCUCUUCGGAUCGUAAACCUCUGAGUCAGGGACGAAAGACACUUCGGUGGGAUGACGGUACCUGAGUACUAGCACCGGCUAACUCCGUGCCAGCAGCCGCAGUAACAC
rnacentral:rRNA from 1 species